rnacentral:rRNA from 1 species
ACACUCCUGCGGGAGGCAGCAGUGGGGAAUUUUGGACAAUGGGCGAAAGCCUAAUCCAGCAAUGCCGCGUGAGUGAAGAAGGCCUUCGGGUUGUAAAGCUCUUUUGUCAGGGAAGAAACGGUGAAAGCUAAUAUCUUUUGCUAAUGACGGUACCUGAAGAAUAAGCACCGGCUAACUACGUGCCAGCAGCCGCGGUAAUACGUAGGGUGCAAGCGUUAAUCGGAAUUACUGGGCGUAAAGCGUGCGCAGGCGGUUUUGUAAGUCUGAUGUGAAAUCCCCGGGCUCAACCUGGGAAUUGCAUUGGAGACUGCAAGUCUAGAAUCUGGCAGAGGGGGGUAGAAUUCCACGUGUAGCAGUGAAAUGCGUAGAUAUGUGGAGGAACACCGAUGGCGAAGGCAGCCCCCUGGGUCAAGAUUGACGCUCAUGCACGAAAGCGUGGGGAGCAAACAGGAUUAGAAACCCCUGUAGUCCC